GUAUAUCGAUCCCAAAGUUCCUGUUGCCAGCGCCGCCAUAUUUCUCGACAGAAAGCAACGACGCCAACAGGUAUCACAAAGGUAACAAAGAAAAUCGUUCAAAACAUCUGUGACAUAUGACUUUUGUGUAGAACUUUCAAAUGUGUAUGUGCCUUCAAUCAAGACAAUGAGUACAGACACACGGACUGCUAAUUCUGGGAAGAAGAAAGGUGGUGGAUUUUUAUCGCGUCAGGCGAAAGCGAAAUCACAGACUGAAUGUGUGACAGAGGAAGAACUUUUGAAGAGGGACGUUGUGACGCCAGAUGAUGUAUUACGACUAAGUAAAACGACAGAGAAGUACCUGUGCCCACCUGAGGCCAAUGUUUAUGGAAUCGACUUUACCCGCUUCAAGCUGCGAGAUAUGGAGUCUGGCACAGUCCUGUUUGAAGUAGCUAAACCUCCCCCGCCUGAAGAUGGGGAAGAUGCUGACCUUGACCUUGAAGAUAGCGAUCCUAAUGCUGGGCGCUUUGUCAGAUACCAGUUUACACCACAGUUUCUCAAACUGAGGACAGUCGGAGCCACUGUGGAGUUUGUAGUUGGAGACAAACCAGUCAACAAGUUCCGCAUGAUUGAAAAGCACUACUUCAGAGAGAAGAUGCUCAAAUGUUUUGACUUUGAGUUUGGAUUCUGCAUCCCCCACAGCCGGAACACAGUGGAGCAUAUAUAUGAAUUCCCACUUCUCAACCAAGAAGAAAUCCAAGACAUGAUCGACCACCCUUAUGAGACCCGCUCUGACAGUUUCUACUUCGUGGAAGAGAAGCUGAUCAUGCACAAUAAAGCGGACUACGCCUACAAUGGUGGUGCCUAGUGGGGCACAUCUCAUCACAUCUCUAUUAACUGACAGUCUGGACUAGUUCUUUUGAUGGGACAGACUCAACCCUUCCUUAUUCUACAGGGAAAGUCUGCAGGAGCUGUAACCUAUCUGACAACUAAGGAUACAUGUAUAAACCUGUAUAUUGGUCACAAUAAUGUCUUGUUAAAAGGAACUGAAAUAUUUUAAGCCUGAUUUGUUCUUUAAUUAAAAGUUCUAACUUUCGCUUUGAUUGAAAUUCAAACAUGACCUAUCUCGGUUGUAGUUGUGUUGUUAUCGUGACACAGAUUGGUUUUUAUGUUACUUUGGCAUGUCAAACAGGAUUCAGUUUAGUAAUGUUUUUAUACACAUUAUAAACUAUGACAAAAAUAGUUUAAGCUGUUGUAGUUCAGGGGUGGAUAUAACUUUAAAAUUGCUAGUGUACUCCGGUACAGUGGCACAUGUAAAAUCACUUGCCCUGAUAAUUUUUCCACUAUAAAAUAAACAACAUAAUUAACGUUGGAAAGCCAACUUGACACAGGUACAGCGUGAUAUACAAAUUUGCUUGCCCGGCAGGCAAAAACACUGGACUGGGACGUCGGGCAAUGGGUUAUUUCCACCCCUGUAGUUUGUGAUCACAGCAUACUAUUACAGAAAUCCUACCUCGUGCUUAACAUGGAGUAAAGUUUUUCAUGCAGAAACAAAUAGCAAUAUUCAUACCAAAGUUUGAGUGAACAUCUUUUGUCUUUACUUGUUGGUGUUAAGCUAGAUGUAUAUUCUACUCUACACAGAGAAUGAAUAUGAUCAUGAUGAUCUUUACGAUGAUGAAUAUUGUAAAAAUCACAUGUACACAUAAAGGGAUAACAUUUUAUGAAUGGAAUCACCUGCUCAAAUUAUCAUUUACAUGGAAAAAUGUACUGAAAAUAAUCUCAGCCUUGGCUCUUAAUUCUUGCUAUCAAAGAGUAAUUUUAUUUCAUGCAUUAAUCUUAGUCCAGACUUUUAGUUUUGUUUGGUUUACAGAUUUUCACCCCCAAAUUCAGGUUGACAGCAUACUGCGGGUCAGAAAAUCGAUAAACUAGGCCCUGGUUUAGUAUCCACAUGCCUUACUAUAUAAUAUGUAAAGGUUCAUCACAGAAAUACGGUGACAUGAUCGAAAACCGGACAAUUAUGAACACGUCAAUGAAUAUAUCGUAUUUUAAAGGUCUCACAAGUUUCAAAAGCUUUUGUCCAUAUCUCUGAUGUGUGUAGGGGGCAUUUAAAUGCGCUUUCCGUGGGGAUGCAUUUGAUGGUUUUUAUCAAAUCGCCAAAGACCGAGUAAGGGGUGUGGAUACUAAACCGGGGCCUAGUUUAUCUAUGGUUGACAGGUAGAAAAAUAUAUACAAAUGGUGUAUUUUUCUUUUUUGGCAAUUUGUCAUUAUUACUUUUGUUUGGAAGUUUUUAUGAUAAAUUGUCAACAGGUUCUAAUUAAAGUAUUUUAAAUCAUUUAUUUUUUAUUGAUAGGGACAGUGAGAUUUUUGAGAUUGUAUUCAUUUCUUGUUGAUGGAAUAAUAAGCCCAUUGCUCUUCUUUUCUUUUAACACUUCUGUGAUUUCUAAUUCAGGUUUUACAAAAAAAGGUUUGGCCGUGUAUGUCUCACAAUCCUUGUGACAGCUGUUCUCUGAUCUCAUCUAAAACCAUCCCUGUACACAUUUAUAGAUUCCAGUUGUUUUACAUGUAUUCUAGCAACGGACAUCCGUUAUUUAAUUCCGUUGAUCUGAACAAAUGUGAAAUGUUCGCUGGAUAAUUUAAUUCCUUGUUUAAUGUGGAUAUUUUCACCAGUGGUUGGGGAUAUAAUAGAAUUUAUUUUGUGACGGUAUUUUCGAGUGACAGUAGUCUCAGAAUGUGAGUAUUUAUUGGCACAUUGUUGUAUAUUUCUGAUUGCAUGCAUUAUAUUUAUGUUUGCUGUCCUUUGUCUCAGUAUUACUGUCUCCACACACGGCCUUGUCACAGAUCUCUCCUUGCUUGCAAACCAUAAGUUGCUGACAGGUCUCGAGGUUACGAAAACCCAUGUUCUCUGAGGGGCUUGGGGACAACUAAUGUAUCUUACCACACACUGAAUGGAUGUAGGUCUCGCAUUCAUACUGUGGUCGGAAUCUGUAAGAAUACCACAGACUUUUAAUCUGUUCAUUAGCAGAUGGCAGAAAACUAACUUAUACCCACUAGAUCUAUUUCAUUUUGAAAAUUUUGCAAAUGUCCUGAGAAUGACGUCUUUGACCAUUAAAUGGAGAUGUAAAACUGGUUGCAUGUAGGUAUUGUAAUGCAUUAGCUAUUACAUUUUGGUCAUUUGAUUGAGAAACAUAAAAAUGAACCUUACCGGUUAAUGAUAGGGAAAAUAACAAAAUAGUUUGAAAGCCCUUGAAUUUGGAGAAAACUUUCAUGUUCUUGUUGAUAAAAGUAUUAAAAUUCAUGACAGAUUUAGUUUGCCUUAUUUGAUAGUUUUUAAAAUAACUUGUCAGAAAACUUGUGAUGUCCAUACAAUUUCCAAGGAUUUCAGACAAAUAUUAUAGUAAACAGGAUUUUAAACAAGAUGGACAGACUAAGGCUAAUAACCCAAGGAAAAAAGCCUUGAUACGACAGUGAUGAAAAGGCCUUGAAUUUUAGUAUUCCCUGUCAUCUGACUCUUUUACUUACAUCACUGUGUGGGUCAUGGUUUCUGACCUUGGAAAACACUUACAUCUGUGUCGUGACUGGUUUCAAGGCCAGAGGUGAGGUUUGCGACAUGCCUCCAAUGCGUUCACAUUCCAUUCCUGUCAGGGUUUGUUUUGUGUGUCCUAGUUUAUUCUUCUCACUCAUUGCUAGUCCGAAACGAUUCACAAUACGAUACAUAUCACAAUGAUAUAUUCAAAAUACUAUCCAUAUCAUGAUCAGGGGUCUGUAUUCCCAUUUGCUUAAGUGCAGGUAAACAAAAAGUACUUCUCCUGGGUUACAUUUGUGUUGUUUUGUGAUGUAAUGACACCGUAGUGAUCUGCGCUAUGACUAUCACAAGUCUAAGUAUUCGAUUUCCGAUCUUCUCACCGCUACAAACAGUUUGUGAAACGGGAACCAGAAUAUAGUGUAUAGACCAGUAAAUGCAUAGGUUGAACUAUUGUGAAAUCAUCAUGCAUAUGUGAAUCGUUUCCACAUAAUUACGUUGUCACUUGUAUUCCCUUAGAAGAUGCAAAUCUGAAAUCCUCAAUUUCUUUUCCAUUUAUCUGAUGUGUUUAUUUUUUAUUGUAUUGUAUUGAAAUGAUUCCAGGAAUUAGAAAUAAUCAGUUCAGAAUUCGGUUUCAUUGUUCUGUGCUGGUGAAUGUAUUCAGCUGUGCCUGUACUAAAUACAACUGUCAUGAAAUACACACUCCGACGUGGGAGAAUCCGGAUAAAAUAUAUGUUUAAACUGUCAUCUUGUAAGUAGUGGUCAAAUGAAAUCAUUGAAUGAUUUGUCAUUCAGUUGAUAUGUUGUUAUUUGGAUAUUCACUAUAUGUACUUGCGUGCAGUAGUUGUCUCCCCUUGAUUUCUGUCCAGUUUGAUGAAAGAGUAAGCGACAGUGCAUGCCACCAUCUUGUUACAAGGAUCCCAGGCUGUGAGACAAUCGUCAACCAUUUCCAACAUCUUUCUCAGGAGUGUACAAAGACAUAGGACGCCACGAUGAUACAUGCGUUCUUAAUUUCUUACAUAACACGAUAUGGCUGAAAUAUGCCGAUUUGACUUAAGUCUUAACUCACUCUAUUGGCAUAACAAUUUUGAAUAGAGAGAACAAUAUCCAUUCUUUUGAUCUCUUGUAGGAAUGUCUUUUAAGUUUGAGUUAUUGAACAUUAAAAAUCCUAUCUACGUAUCAGCACUGGUUAUUUCUGUGUGGACACAUGGAUUUUCUCACCAAGGUUCAAGUUUCUGGCGUGUCUGAUAUUACUUCUAGGAUAACACGAGGUUCUGAACUUACUCAAGUAAUGAUUAUCAUCCUUACGGUUAUUAAUGUUAAAUGCCACAUCAGCGAAAAAGUGCAUAAUACUGCAACUGAAAGUUCACAGUGCUUGGUUAGAAUCGUCUCGCACAGUUCAUAGGUGCUUUUAAGUUUGCUCAAAUACAAGGUGCAAUGAGUGUUUUAAAAUCAAAACUGGACGUCGAUUGGAAAGAUUUCAAAUUCAGUAUAUAAUAGUGUCACAGGAACAGUGCCAAGAUUUGAUGAAGUCAACUGUUUUUCAUCUGAUUAUUGAGAAAUAUUAAGUUUGAAUCUACUAAAUAUUUUUAUCAAGUUGAGGUCAUACAAAGUACGACUAUAGACUGAGAUACUUGCUUUUGUUGAUGAGUUUGUUGUAGUAGGUUUAUGUUGUGGAAAAUGCUGUUCAGUUAUCCUUUCUUACCUAGAGAUGUUGCUGUGCCAUGCUUGUUAGACUGAAGUUGUUUCACACUGUUCAGGGACUUGCCAUCUAUUACAGGGGAGGUGGUGAGCUAGCCUAGUGGUUAAAGCAUUUGCUUGUCAUGCCAAAGACCCGGGUUUGAUUCCCGACAUGGGUACAGUGUGUAAAGUCCAUUUCUGAUAUUGCUUGAAUAUUGCUAAAACUGGGGUAAAAUGAAUACACUCACUCACUUGUCUAUUACAGGGUUGAUGGGUUAAGGUUUUUAUGCACUAAUGUAUUGAAAAUAAUGACUGACCCCCCUCAAAUAUGUGUCAAAUUUUUGGAUGACUCUCCACAUGUCGAUGUAUAUUUCUUCAUCACCCUGCCUGAGAAGAUAAUGCAAAAGCAUUUUAUUUUAUUCAUAACCCUUCCAAAAUAUGUGUAUAUUUGUUCAUGACCCUGAGAAAGAAUCAUGUAUUUGGCGAUUUCCUCUGAACCAUCCUCUAUAAUACAUGACAAGUCCCUGAACCAGAAAUAAAAGUUCUAGUACUUGAUCAUUGUAACUUUAGUUUCAGAAUUAUUGUACAGCUUGAUUUUAGUUUCACUCAAGAUGUGAAUGACAAAUUGUGCCUUUAUCCUACACACAAAGCAAUGGUUGCUCUAGUGGGGAAUUGUUUAAUAGGAAUACACGUUUCGUGCAUAUAUGAGAAGCCUGUUGAAAUGGAGAACUGCAUGAUAGUGGACAUGUUGUGCACAACACGAAACAUUUGUUCUGGAAAUCAAUGUGUUAAUCCUAAGUUAUUAAAUCUCCUGUUCAGGCAUGUAAGGGUUUAAUAUUGCUGAUGAUUAGAAAUGACAGAAAAUGUUUCAGAUAGGUUUCAGAGCUAUAGACCAAUGGAUAAUUUUGUGUCCAGAAAGGCAAUCAAAUCAAACUGAACUUGUUGACAACAGUUGGUAUUUCAAACAUGAGUAUGUUUCAGACCUGCUGUUAUUGAAGUGAAUUACCUAGACCUGUUAUUGCUGAGCAUUGUGUUGUCGUGUUUGUUGCCAUGUGGCAGACAAGACAAUUCCUCCUCAUGUUUGAAGAUGCUGAGUCAAAUAUAUUCCUUUAUGUUUCUAGGAAUUUAUGAAUUGCCACUGGACCACGGUUAUCAAAUACUAAGCCCAUGUUUCCUGACAAUGACAGUACAGUAUGAGUUACUUAAUUCAAUAACCAUUUUGUGAGUGGAGUGCAGGUGCUUUUCUUUCAUUUUGUCUGAAAGUGGUAAUUUUGACAACAUCCAGGAAGCGUAAAACUUAGCACCAAAGACGUAGUACACAUUGCAGUACAGUGUGGACAAGCAGGUUCUGUCAGGACAGAUUCACUGGAUUCUUGCUCAGCAGCUGUUCCAGUACUUCAUCCCCUUACAAUUGGGGUCAGGUGGACACAAUGUGGCACAUAUGGACAGUAUGGGUACCUGACUGGGAAAACCUGUAUUCAGUGGAGAUGCUGACUUCACGGCCCAUCCAUCAUCUUGAGAUGCUGCAGCUCCAGGAUCAGUGUGAAACUAAAACGUUGGCUGUCAUGGGUAACCAGUUAAUGAUGGAUAGCAGCUCACUCAAAUACAGAUAUCAUUUUGUCCUAGACAUUCAUCACAAGGACUUUGAUCACCUGGUGGUCAAAAGGGCAGGAUAACUUCACAAGGUCAAUGUUAGGUUUGCCCAGAUCAGUUUUGUCAUCAAACCCAUGGGUUUGCCCAAGUGUUGAAUUUAAAUGGCCAGCAUCACUUUGGGAUUAGGACCCACAUUGAUCUAGUAUGCCAUGAAUGGGCACAAUUGCUACUCAGACCUGACCUGGUUGUCUCUCAUCAUCAUUAGAACCAUGAAGCCCAUUUCUGGUGUCCCCCACCGUGAUAUUGCUGGAAUAUUGCUAAAAGCUAAAAAUAAACUCACUUACUCAUGUGAACCAAACAUGUUUCAGUUACUUCAUUCCUUGACCAGGUUUGUUGGGUAGAGUAUUGAUUAGGGUGUUUGCCUUGCACACAGAUGAUCCAUCCCUGGAUGUGUUCCACCUUUGUAAAACCGCCAUGUUGCUGAAAGCGGCUUGCAACUUGCACAAAGCACUGUCCUUGUCCUCAGUGUCCUAGACUAUCUGACCGGUCGUUGAUCAGUUCACCUCGUUCCAAAAUACUGAAGCUAUGACUAUCAAUUUCUAUUCGAUUCUUCAUGAGUGUUCAUGCUUCUAAAGCUUAUAUGAUGUUUUGGAACAUGGCCUGGAUCAUACCAAUCUCACCAAAUUCAGACUGUUUGCAUCGAAAUGAAACCUGGGUCCAGAUCAAAGAACACCUGUAAUAAAUUGCCGCAGAUUGACCCUGAGGAACUUGGAAUACCCAAUCAAAAUACAGGAUGUAUAGAUGCCACUGUGCUUGCUCAUGGAUAAAAUAUCUCUACAAUAUGGGAUUAUUUUAUUAACAUUCUUAUUUUCUCGAUUCUGUGGAGACUUAUGGGUCUGUCCUCAGAUCUUUACAGAUGUGGGGCGUGAGGUAGCCUAGUGCUUAAAGCAUUUGCUAAUCACGCCGAAGACCCAGGUUUGAUAACCAACAUGUGGAGAAUGUGUGAAGCCCAUUUCUGGAGUCCCCUGCCAUAAUAUUGGUGGAAUUUUGCUAAAAGCGGCAUAAAACUAAAAUCACUCUCACUCACACAGCUGUAUCAUGUUGAAAACUGACAAUUAUAACUCAAUACUGAAGUGUCUUUCUAGGCUAAGACUGCUUUAGGUAACAUGGCCCUGACUUGGAGGUUUGGAUAAUUCAGGAUAUAUUUACAAAGGGUAUUUAGUUUUAAGCCUCAAUGAAAAAGCUUUACACAUGAAUUGGUACACACUUUUAACUUGGAUAUGAAGUAACCAGGCUCAAGCCAUUUGUAUGCACCAUCGUAUUACAGUCGUCCGUCCAUCGCACACCUGCACUGGCCACUGACCCACUGCACAAGGAAGGAUAGCCAUCUGAAGUUUCAUCCCCUCUCGUCUUGCUCUACUGGUCAGCAAGAUGACCUUUCUACCAGUGACUAUGUUAUAUAUCUCCAGAUACGCUGGUCAAGUGAAAGUCUUGUUGCAGGAUCGUAAGAUUGGUAGUUAAUCAUGUAGAAAAGUUUGUGUAGAUACAUUGUUGUUUUGCACGUUUGUGUUGUUUAAUUCAAACUAUAUACUGGUCACACACUGGACACUACCUGUCUGGGAAGCUUUAUUUGUAUAGUAAUUUACUUACCUUGUUAGUGCUGGGUGCUCAAGUAAUUGAUUUCUGGGGAGUUAACAAGUUUUGGGGGGUGGGGCAAAAUGUAUAGUUAUGUACACAUUUUGUUUCAUGAUGCUUAUAAAGUAACAGCCCAUUUCAUUGUUUUUGGAUUCAUAAAGCAGAUAUUGAUAUUUUUCUACAAUAUAUUUAAGUCACAAAUUAUUAGUUAACAUUCCAUGGAUAGGGUCUUACAAGGGUUAACAGGAGAUUGUGCUGUGGUUAAUAGCACGACACUUAAUCAAAAUGAUUUAUGUAAGGGGAGUUUAGGAAUGUGUUGAAGAUUUUCAUUGACAGAAAAGAAAUAUUAUUCUGGAGUGUAUGUUGAAUGCACUCUGUAGACGAUGCUUACGUUCGAGUUGUUCUGACAUGCUGUUCUGUAGAGUCCAGUGAGCAGUGUGUGAAUUGUGUUUUCCAUUGAUUUUAUCAGAUGUGUAUACCUUUGAAGUAUCUUGUGGUCAAUAUUAUUUAACAUUACUUACAGUGUUUUGUAUUGUGAUUUUAAUAUGAUUUUAUCUUUUAUUUUAUCAAUGUUGAUUUGUUCAUAAUGUAAUGCCACACAUGUAGACUUUCCUCUCCACAUGGAGUGACACCUGCGGAAUCGUCUACCACAUGAUUGGAUCUCAAAGAAUCAUAUUUCGGUAAGGGUUCCCAAGGACUAAUACUGAAGUUUCUAGAUUUGGGUGGUUGUUUGGAGGUUGCGAGACUUGUGAUGUGGUAGAUGGUUCUGGUGGGUGUGAUUGUUCCAUACUGUACAUUGUCGAACAUAUCUGUCAUCAUUGUCAUGUUAUAUUGCAGCUUUAUUUGCAAUUAAAUAUGAGAAUUCUCAA
rnacentral:misc_RNA from 1 species